UACGUAGGGGGCUAGCGUUGUCCGGAAUCAUUGGGCGUAAAGAGCGUGUAGGCGGCCAGGUAGGUCGGUUGUGAAAACUGGAGGCUCAACCUUCAGAGGUCGACCGAAACCAUCUGGCUAGAGUCCGGGAGAGGAGAGUGGAAUUCCCGGUGUAGAGGUGAAAUUCGUAGAUAUCGGGAGGAACACCGGUGGCGAAGGCGGCGACCUGGGUAGAUACUGACGCUGAGGUGCGAAAGCGUGGGGAGCAAACAGG
rnacentral:rRNA from 1 species